CCUCGCGGUGGACAUCUUGUCGGCUCUUAGGUGGAACCAUCGGAGCAGAAGCUCGGGGUUGCUGGGCGGUUCCGAGGUGACGGAAGCGGGAGGGUGCGGGAGAAGUCGCUGUUCGCUCUGCGGAGUGGCUCGCCAGCGAAGACCCCGCCUGCGCCCCCGGGGACGGACGACCGCGGUGCCAGGGUCCCGCGACCUGGGACCCCCUCGCGGCUCCGGGUGGUCUACGAACUGUGAUGGCGGCGGCCGCGGUGAUGGGCCCGGCGCAGAUCCUCUGUGGUUGUUGAAUUGUAACAAGAGAGAGAACUCUGGCUGCCUGAGAGGGCAUGACUCUAGUCACAGCAGGAGGGGCUUGGACAGGCCCUGGUGAGUGGGAGCUGAGGGACGCCAUAACCUCAGGGCUGGGUUCCUGUAGUUCCGGAAACCUAUGUUGUGCCCAUCACAAGUGCCAAGGCCAGAGGCCCUAACUUAUUUCUACCUUUUUAU
rnacentral:lncRNA from 1 species